rnacentral:tmRNA from 1 species
AUAACUGGCAAACAAAACAAUAACUUCGCUUUCGCUGCUUAAUAACAGACGAUAGUGGUUCCUCCUUCCAUCGUCCAUGUGGUAAGGUAAGGGACUCAUCUUAAGUGGACUACGCCGAAUUCCACCGUCUGAGGAUGACGGAAGAGAAUAACCAGACUAGCUACUUCCAUGCCUGUCAGUAGGCUAAAGAAGUAAGUGAAAUGAAUUUUACUGACUACACUCGUAGAGGUAUAAGUGGCAAUAUCUUUGCACACGGGUUCAACUCCCGUCAUUUCCACUC